rnacentral:rRNA from 1 species
UACGUAGGGGGCAAGCGUUGUCCGGAUUUAUUGGGCGUAAAGAGCGUGUAGGCGGCCUGACAAGUCUGCUGUGAAAACUCGAGGCUCAACCUCGAGAUGUCGGCGGAAACUGUCUGGCUAGAGUCCGGAAGAGGAGAGUGGAAUUCCUGGUGUAGCGGUGAAAUGCGCAGAUAUCGGGAGGAACACCUAUGGCGAAGGCAGCUCGCUGGGACGUUACUGACGCUGAGACGCGAAAGCGUGGGGAGCAAACAGG